GAUGAACGCUGGCGGCGUGCCUAAUACAUGCAAGUCGAGCGAACGGACGAGAAGCUUGCUUCUCUGAUGUUAGCGGCGGACGGGUGAGUAACACGUGGAUAACCUACCUAUAAGACUGGGAUAACUUCGGGAAACCGGAGCUAAUACCGGAUAAUAUUUUGAACCGCAUGGUUCAAAAGUGAAAGACGGUCUUGCUGUCACUUAUAGAUAGAUCCGCGCUGCAUUAGCUAGUUGGUAAGGUAACGGCUUACCAAGGCAACGAUGCAUAGCCGACCUGAGAGGGUGAUCGGCCACACUGGAACUGAGACACGGUCCAGACUCCUACGGGAGGCAGCAGUAGGGAAUCUUCCGCAAAGGGCGAAAGCCUGACGGAGCAACGCCGCGUGAGUGAUGAAGGUCUUCGGAUCGUAAAACUCUGUUAUUAGGGAAGAACAUAUGUGUAAGUAACUGUGCACAUCUUGACGGUACCUAAUCAGAAAGCCACGGCUAACUACGUG
rnacentral:rRNA from 1 species